rnacentral:lncRNA from 1 species
AAUGGGGUUGGUGAAAGCACCGUCAUUGGUUGAGUUAGGUGCCACGUGUGAAGAUAAUGUGUUCUGAACAUUAUAAAAUUAAUUUUUGAUAUCAUAAUCAAAAAGUAUUUGAAACUUGUGUAGUAUGGUGAUAGGCAGAAAAGCAAAUGAUGGUUAUAGUUUCAGUGUUUCACGCAAUAUUCAAGAUACCGCUAGAGAUUAGCUGGAUCUUUGUUUGAUAAUUAACAUACACUCUGUAUUACUUUUGACCUUGAAAUUUUCUUUACCUAAUGAAAAUAAGUGCUAAAGUACAUUUAUUGCAUGUCUCCACCAGAUUAGCCUGUUGAUUUUCUUGAACCGGACUUUUAGCUUGAUUAUUCCAAUAUCUUGCUGAGUU